GUGAGUGUAGCUCAAUGGCAGAGCACUGGUUUGUGGAUCCAGUGGUUGAGGGUUCGAUCCCCUUCACUCACCCCA
rnacentral:tRNA from 2 species